GGCGGCAGGGGUACGCUGAUGGCUGCCCUGGGGGACGUCGUCCUGGAUGGUUACCUGUACCCGGCGUGCGCCCUCUACUCGUACCGGUGCCUCUACCCGGCCGCCGCCGCUAAGGGAAAAAGCGGGGCGGACGAGGGUGGCUGGCGACCCCGGGGCGGGGGCUACCCUCCCGUUUCCUCCUCCUCUGACGGCGCGGCCUCGUCGUCGUUCCCCGGCCACGGGCAGCUGGCGGCCGCCGAGUACGUCCACAGCUACCACCGCGCGCAGCUCAUGGCCCUGCUGUCGCAGGUGGGCCCCCGCCGGGUCAGCACUCGGGAUGCGGCGGUGCAGGUGAACCCGUGCCGCGACGUAUCGGUGCAGUGCUCGCUGGGGCGGCGGACGCUGGGGCGCAGGGCCCGCGAGUUCGGUCCGAGUCCGGAUCCCGAGGGCGCGGCGGACGCGGGCGGCAGCUGCCCGGCCUCCCCGCAGCGCGCCAGCAAGGGCCGGGAGCAGGACAGCCCGCCGAGCCGCGCCCCGCGGCGCGUGCGUUUCCUGCGCACCUUGGCCGUGUACUCGCCCGUGACCUCCCGCUGCCUAGCCACCCUCCUGGAGGGGGCUGAGGCCGCGGCGGGCCAGCAGAGGCCCGGGGAGCCGGAGGCUGAGCGAGAGCCGCCACCUGCGAGGCCCCGAGGCCCCGAGGCGGGAGACGGGUCGGCGAGCAAGGUGUCCCAGCGGCUGCAGCCUGAGGAGGACGAGGCCCAGGCCGCAGUACCGGCGAGCCGCGAGCAGCCCCCGCCCGUUGCCAAGGUCCCGGACGCCGCUGGCGAGAGAUCGUCGCCCCGGAGCCCCCAGCUGGGCAAAGAGCGCCUGCGCUUCCAGUUCUUAGAGCAGAAGUAUGGCUACUAUCACUGCAAGGACUGCAAUAUCCGCUGGGAAAGUGCCUAUGUGUGGUGUGUACAAGGCACUAACAAGGUUUACUAUAAGCAGUUUUGCCGAACAUGCCAGAAGUCUUAUAACCCUUACCGAGUGGAGGAUAUCACCUGCCAAAACUGUAAACAGACUAGAUGCUCCUGCCCAGUGAAACUUCGCCAUGUGGACCCCAAAAGGCCCCACCGUCAAGAUUUGUGUGGGAGAUGCAAAGGCAAACGCCUAUCCUGUGACAGCACUUUCAGUUUCAAAUAUAUCAUUUAAGUGAAUGGGGGGGAAAACCACCCCCCAAAACCGUGGUCCCGCUGAAUGUGUGCUGGUGGCGCAGACAAAUUAUGCUGGUGGAUAAGCAGUUCUUGGAGACCAAAAGGAGGGAUGCUCGCUCUGGCUCUGAUGACAUAACAGUUUCUUUAUGACAGACCAGGAUUCGGAGUCAGCCUUUCAAGGAUUGGUUGUAGACACAGACUUUGAUCUCCACUUGAGCAGAAUCAUUUGUAUGCGACAAACCCAAGCAGAGGAUGCUGUCUACGUGGCAACGUGUACACACUGGGGACAGUUUAUUAAUGGAAACACAAUCAGCUGUCUUCUAUUCCAGAGACUUGUGGUGCUCCAUUUCAGUAAAGAAUACUCAUUUUUGUAGAUUUUACUGGAAAUCUUCACAGCCUAUACUUGACCUGUGUCUAAUGUAAGAUGGAGAAAUGAAAAGUGGGCUUCCCCUCUUGUCAGUUUAAUAAAGGCAACUUAGAAUUAACCAGGUCUGUUUAUUUAUCAGAAGUGUAAUUCUCAGAAGAUGUGUGUCACUUUUAAUUAGUGAAGCAGAAACUAAAAUCCAUUUAAAAUCUUGUUUUUCCUUCCUUUUUGGACAGCAAUGUAUGAAUAAAUAUGUUAUCUCCAAAGAGAUACUGGUUGCAGAAGCCAAAUGUGAUUUUCCUUAUCCAGGGGCUAGUCCUAAAGAUGGAUAUUUAUUUAAGGUAACUUUUCCUUGGCCACAUAAAAAGAAAAUAACAGUACUGUGGUUUAGUGGGGAAAAACACUGGACUCAGAAUAUCUAAGCUGAAGUGAAAGCUAAGAGCCUUCAAGCUAAGCACUUAGGUUUUAACAGUUUGAUAUUAAUAAUCAAUUCUUUUGCCUUUCUGGCUCUUUCUUAUGUGACAGACUAAACAUGAUAAAAUUACAAUUAUAAUAUAUAAUAUUAUCAAAUAAUACGAAUUAUAUUUGAAAUUAUAUAUAUGAAACUAGGACAUUUUUCAUUAGGACUUUGAGAAAAACCACGAGCUACAUUGUUUAUUCUUUGAAAAUAUUUCAUUAUUAGACAUUUGAAAUUCUCAGUUGUAGCUUAACGGUCUACAUGCAGAGAAUGAAAAUUAGGUGUCUCGGUUGUUUCAAAACAGUCUCUUUGACCUUCAGUCCCUUUUAUCCCAGCCCCUCAGCCUGGCUGGGCCCUUAGGCUCUGUGCUUGACAGCAAGUCAGAAGAAAAACAUGUUAAGCUUCCGUAGCGAGAUAUAGCUGCUGGCAGCCACUGUCAAAAGCCAGUCAGCAGAUUUCUCUCUCAUCAGCUGACAUCUGUCAUGGAAUUUGUACAUGAAUGUCCGCUCACACAAAAUGUUAAGAGUCCCUAUUUGGUUCAUCAUCAUCAUCACAAGUCUAGCCCAAUGUGUCCAGUAUGCUGAUGAAAAAAAUUUUAAAUUGCUUAUUCUUACUAAAUAUAUUUUUUUACACUGUAUGCCUAUGAUAUGGCAUGGGGGGGGGGGCACUAUUCAACAUAAUUCUGGUUUGUAUUCUGCUACAAGACAAGCCCCAACCCUAUUGUGCUGUGGCUGCACACUGGCCUGAAAAGUACCGGCCUACACCUUCCCGGUCCGUGUAUUCAAAACACAAUAGACAGUCUGUGUACAGAAUAACCUCCAGUUCACAGGUUAAUCGGUCUUCCUAUCGUGAUGGAUUUUUUUUUUAAACUCAGGGCUCAAAUGUUAAAAAUUAACUGGAGAGGUUUGGCGUCUGGGUGUGAUGGAAGUAGCUUAUAUAAGGCCUGUCCUCGAAGGAUGACUGUGGAAGUUGAGUAAGAACUAGUUGAAAAAGAACUAGGAAGUCAAAAGAACUGAUAAUAUUAGUAAAUAUCAAACUGUCAUAUUUAGGGAGUUAAAAGUAUCAAGAGAGCCCUACUUUGAUUCCAGUGUUACUCUAGGGGAUUUGCUCAUUCCUGUCCAUGGGCUCAGAAGCUGAAGUAGUGGCCUACAGUUUCACUGGGCUGGGAAAGCAGGGCUGUCACAGGUAGUGAGGUCCUAAGGAUCAAGACCCUGGAGAAGAGGGAGCUGCAAAGGAGGCCGCCCAGUAGUCCGUGUGCACUCUCCCCUUGGCACAUUCGUUCCUGUGCUUAUCAUGUGCAGGAGAGGCUAAGAAAGCCAGCAGUGGCAUCUGGGAGGCUGAAAAGGUAAACAGCAGCUUUUUGGUCUUAUGGUGCUGGGGAGACAAAAACUGUUCGCUCCCAGCCCAGAGAGUGGGUCCUGAUGAAUACCCUAGGCUUUCACUUGUGAUUCUUAGAAGCCUCAAGGAAUAUACAAGAAUGUAUUGAUACAACUAAAAAACUAUUCAGUUCAGUCGCUCAGUCGUGUCCGACUCUUUGUGACCCUAUGAAUCGCAGCACGCCAGGCCUCCCUGUCCAUCACCAACUCCCGGAGUUCACUCAGACUCACGUCCAUCGAGUCAGUGAUGCCAUCCAGCCAAAAAACUAUUAGAUGGGCAAAAACUGAAUAAUGAAAAAUAGUUGUUUGAUAGAAAAGAAGAAAGGAAGCAGAGGAAGGGAUAGGAUAAAAAAUAGUGACAUGAUUGCUUAUGAUGCUUCAAGUUUUUCUGCCCCUGCCAGUUGAAAACAGCACACUGGAUUUGCCCCCAGCGAACAGAACUGCUGGCUGUGUUUCGCAGGGCCAGACUGGAGUUAGAGAAACGUUUGCAGGCAGUAUCUGUAGUCUACUACGUGCUCAUUUCUCCCUUUGCUUGCCCACGUACACAUAUACAUCACAGGAAGAAGAUCACCAGUUUGUCACAAGUGGCGGGCUUUCUGGACCACAAUAUCAUAUGCAUUGCUCAGGGAGAUACUGCUUUUAUAUUCCUACUUGCAAUGUUGACAGCAGCUAUUCAGUCUCCAGACAGAAGCUUUUUAUAAAGCGAAUUUUCCAUUGUGUUCUAAGACCCUCAGAAGGCCAGUUUCUAAAAGCUGAAGAUAGGAAUUAACUGGACAGGCAGCUCCAAGUUUCCCACCAUUCUCAGCAUAACCCUGAGGCAAGUAGUAAGAGGUCCUGGUUCCCUCUCGGCUAUUCUGCCAGGUUAGCAUGUCUAGUGUCACAAGUAACUACUUUUUUUUUUUUACAUUGUAAAA